rnacentral:rRNA from 1 species
GAUGAACGCUGACAGAAUGCUUAACACAUGCAAGUCAUUGGCGAAGCUGCGCUUGCGCAGUCUAGCCAAGGCGGACGGGUGAGUAACGCGUAAGGAACUUGCCCUGCAGACAGGGAUAACAGACGGAAACGACUGAUAACACCUGGUAUUGUCAGGCUGGCGCAUGCCGGCCUGAUGAAAGGAGACGCUGCAGGAGAGCCUUGCGUCCUAUUAGCUCGUUGGUGGGGUAACGGCCCACCAAGGCGAUGAUAGGUAGCAGGCCUGAGAGGGUGAACGGCCACAAGGGGACUGAGAGACGGCCCUUACUCCUACUGGAGGCAGCAGUGGAGAAUAUUGGACAAUGGGGGCAACCCUGAUCCAGCAAUUCUGUGUGCACGAAGAAGUUUUUCGGAUUGUAAAGUGCUUUCAGCAGGGAAGAACAAAGUGACGGUACCUGCAGAAGAAGCGACGGCUAAAUACGUG